AGGCACAAGCAAGGAGGCGCCACACAUUUGCAUGUGCCUUCAUCUUUUUUAAGUGGAUUUUUGAGGGCAGUGCGGCAGACAGAGUUGGACUCCGCGUCCCCUCUCUGCCGGCAGAGCGCCUCGCCGUGCUGCCUGGUGGCGCGGCGGUCUCGGACCCUCCGCCCGCCCCUCGGGGCGAGGGCGCCGCGGACGGGCCUGGGCGCCGGGGCCCGUCAGGGCUGUACCGUCCCGGAGCGUUGCCGCUUCGCUGCCCGGUCUCUCACUCCGUCGCAGACACGGCCCCGCGGGAGGCGCCGAGCCAGGCCCCGCGCGCCUAGAUCCGGCCCGGCGACAGGCGCGGCUCCGCGCUGUCCUCCCUCUCGCCGCGGGCCAGCGGCUCACCCGGCGCCGGGAGCUCCGGGACGGGCCGCGCCCUUCUGCGCCGUCCCGGGCGCCUCCGCACUCGCCUCGGCUCCAGCCCUCGAAGCCCUUCAGGCACCCCACUCCCGCGGCCGGCCGCGACCCGCGUUACCAGCGCAGCCGCAUCCCUCGCCCUGGCCGAGGAGCUGCUCCCCGUACGGGCAAGCACCGCCUCACCCGGGCGCUGCCCGGCUCGCAGCAGCCGCGCUGCGGAGGGGCCGUGGCAUCCAGCCCAGCAGACCCGCCGGGCAGGCGGCUCAGCCCCCGGGGCAGCGGCGGCGGACACCGGGCUCGGGUCCCAGCGAGGUUUCCCGACUCCCGUUCCGACUCGGAUUAGACCGAACCGGUCCUCGGCCCCGGUCGAUCCUCGCCCGCUCCGCUCCAUCGACCUGCGCUCGCCCUCCUGGGCUCUCUGCGCGCCGGGAGCCGCGCUCGCGAGCUCGGGGAAGAGCCAGAGAGGCCGGGCCCGACGGGGCGGCCGGGCCAGGAGGAACCCCCGGCUGGCUGCGGCGUGGCGCGCACAUGUGUCCCCGGCGGCGGCCCGGUGCCAGGUGCAGGGCUGGGGGCAGAGUUUACCGCCAGGUUCUGAUGGCUCCCCGGGUUUCCCAGCCCGAGGGAGGGCGGGGGUUCUUUCCCCAGUUCAGGGCAAAUACCUUCAUUUCACUGGGAAAUUUAACCUCUCCUUGGAGUUGGAUCCAUUAUAGGGGUUUAAUAUCCGCUCUUUUACAGCUCAGUGUUGUAAAGGCAGCAGCCAGGUCUGUGAACUCUGACAUGUGCACCCGCGGGGGGGUGGGGGGGCCUGCCGGCGCGGGGCGCGCCUGCGAGCGCAGCCUUUCAUCUGCGGGGUCGCCGCACCGGCCCCGCCGGUCGGCAGCGGGAGGGGGCGGCGGUCGCUCCCCACCCGGGCUGCCAAGUCGGGCUCGAAGCGCCCGCACUCCCCCUCGGGGUCCACGGCGCAGUCCCGGGGGUUCUGCAGCCGCCGGCCACGAAGUGCCGGGGGUGUUGGCGUGGCCCAUAGCUCCACCGGCCCCGUGGGAGAGAGUUGUGCCUGCGCGGCGGAGGCCAUGCCCAGCUCGAUGGCCUCUCCCUCGGCGGGGGCACGGCAGGUGCCCCGGGCGCCCCAGGUAG
rnacentral:lncRNA from 1 species